rnacentral:rRNA from 1 species
UGGGGAAUAUUGCACAAUGGGCGCAAGCCUGAUGCAGCAACGCCGCGUGGGGGAUGACGGCCUUCGGGCUGUAAACCUCUUUCACCAUCGACGAAGGUCCGGGUUUUCUCGGAUUGACGGUAGGUGGAGAAGAAGCACCGGCCAACUACGUGCCAGCAGCCGCGGUAAUACGUAGGGUGCGAGCGUUGUCCGGAAUUACUGGGCGUAAAGAGCUCGUAGGUGGUUUGUCGCGUUGUUCGUGAAAUCUCACGGCUUAACUGUGAGCGUGCGGGCGAUACGGGCAGACUAGAGUACUGCAGGGGAGACUGGAAUUCCUGGUGUAGCGGUGGAAUGCGCAGAUAUCAGGAGGAACACCGGUGGCGAAGGCGGGUCUCUGGGCAGUAACUGACGCUGAGGAGUGAAAGCGUGGGGAGCGAACAGGAUUAGAUACCCUGGUAGUCCACGCCGUAAACGGUGGGUACUAGGUGUGGGUUUCCUUCCUUGGGAUCCGUGCCGUAGCUAACGCAUUAAGUACCCCGCCUGGGGAGUACGGCCGCAAGGCUA